GUAGUUUAUUGGUGAUUGUACAGCAUAUUCUCUUAUUUCACUCCUUGUGAUUUACAUCAUGCGAGGUCACCCAUACAUAAUUAAUUAUGCAAAUUAAUAAGGCCGGUAUGUUUUUCCAAGAAAGGUGGCAACCCUAACUACUUUUCACAUACUCUUGCUUAAGUGUGGAAACUGUAGAGGGAUGUAUGGGAACAAAACUUGUGUGGACUGGCUGACAAUGAAUAUAGUUAAGGUAAUGCUGACUAAAACUGUGGCAUGUUCCCUUUCACAACAUACAUGUUUUCUUUGUCUCAUACUGUAUAACAGGAAAUUCUGCCUGCUAGUAAGUAAGAGACAAGUGGACCAGCGAGUGCUAGGAAAGCUUAGAAAGCGUUGAGUGAGCGCAUCAUUAGACGCAUUUAUGCCAAGCUCAGGGUGCUGUCUGCAUAGUAUGCCCUUAGUUGGCUAGAUGCAUUCAUGCCAGGCUGGCCUUCCAGUUCUUCGGGCAGACAUGUCCUUUUUGGGCAUGUUCGCCCCUCUUGGCAGGUUACGUGAUUUGUGCCCAUUGACUUCCUGCUUGACUGGACACUGCUGUUAGGGGUUAUGGAUUUACUUGAAAAAUUAAAACAUAAAUUAGAGAGAGAUUAGCAGAGUAAGUUUUCUUAUAGCUGCUGUUUUCUUUCUUUCCAGGACCAUCUCCAUCAGAUACAUGACGCUUGGGAGUGUUUUUGGUCGAUAAGAUUCUGUAAUUAGGCCCAUUAUAAUUGUCAGCACUGGGCUGUUAAUCUGGCCCUGGAUAGAAAGAGGGCUCCCUCUGUUUAUACACUAUCUAAAUCCAUAGAUAGAAGCAGAGCUCGCACUAUACACUAAAUCCAUAGAUAGAUAGAAGCAGGGCUCGCUCUGUUUAUACGUUAUAUAAAU